AGCUGUGUGAUAGGAAGGGGUGGAGCCUGGCUGCACCUCUCUUAGACCUUAUUGAAGAGCCGACUGCUGCUGGGGAAGGAUAUUAUUAUUAUUAUUGUUAUUAUUAUUAUUAUUAUUUUAAGAUCUCUCUUUGGUGAAGUUUUCUCCUGUGAGCCUGGAAUCUUCUGAUAUGGGCUUACCUUCCACCAUCAUAACAGAUCCUCUCUGCAAUCAACACUUGACCAGAACAUCUUGCUGUGUCCUGUUUUUGGAAUUUUACUGUUGGUCCAACUAACUUGACAUGCACAUAGAAAGUUACAGCUUGUGAACUUUCUUUGUAUAUUUGUGGAAGUGGGAAGGGAGAA
rnacentral:lncRNA from 1 species